rnacentral:rRNA from 1 species
CGUGUAGGCGGGAAAGUAAGUCAGAUGUGAAAGCCCAGGGCUUAACCUUGGGAUUGCAUCUGAAACUACUUUUCUUGAGUACUGGAGAGGGAAGCGGAAUUCCUAGUGUAGCGGUGAAAUGCGUAGAUAUUAGGAGGAACACCAGUGGCGAAGGCGGCUUCCUGGACAGAGACUGACGCUGAGGCGCGAAAGCGUGGGGAGCAAACAGGAUUAGAUACCCUGGUAGUCC